rnacentral:rRNA from 2 species
UUUCCGUAGGUGAACCUGCGGAAGGAUCAUUGUCGAAACCUGCAUAGCAGAAUGACCCGUGAACUUAUUUUCAAACUCGGCGGAACAAUUGAUAAUCCUCAUUUGUAUCCCCUUGCUGGAGGUGUAGUCGUUCUCAAGGCGAAAGCCAUGUCAAUUACUGCAUUUGUAGCGCAUUAACAAACUUCGGCACGGUAUGUGCCAAGGAAUAAAAAUAAAGAGUGCUUGUCCUUCUGCUCAAUUUUUGGGCAUUAAAGGACAAUGUCGUCUUAUAUAUACUAAACGACUCUCGGCAACGGAUAUCUUGGCUCUCGCAUCGAUGAAGAACGUAGCGAAAUGCGAUACUUGGUGUGAAUUGCAGAAUCCCGUGAACCAUCGAGUUUUUGAACGCAAGUUGCGCCCGAAGCCAUUAGGACGAGGGCACGUCUGCCUGGGUGUCUCACAUCUCGUCGCCUCCAACCUAUUUCCAUUAGGAACCGUUGUUGUUGGAGCGGAAAUUGGUCUCCCGUGCACAUUGCUGUGUGGUUGGCCUAAAAUUGAGUGCAUGUGGACGGGAGCCGCAAUAAGUGGUGGUUGACAAACCGUUGCAUUGUUGUUGUGUGACCUCGUCCUCGAAAACUCUAUUGACCCUGUUGCAUUGCACAAGUGAUGCCUCGACUGCGACCCCAGGUCAGACGGGACUACCCGCUGAGUUUAA